AGCAGCCGCGGUAAUUCCAGCUCCAAUAGCGUAUAUUAAAGUUGUUGCAGUUAAAAAGCUCGUAGUUGAAUUUCGGGAUCAAUACGUUGGUCGUGCUUUCGGGUACGUACUGGCGUCAUUGGUUUCUCUCUUCUGACGAACCAUGAUGUCAUUAAUUUGGUGUUAUGGGGAGUUAGGACUGUUACUUUGAAAAAAUUAGAGUGUUUAAAGCAGGCAUUAGCUUGAAUACAUUAGCAUGGAAUAAUGAAAUAGGACGUUUGAUCCUAUUUUGUUGGUUUCUAGGAUCGACGUAAUGAUUAAUAGGGAUAGUUGGGGGCAUUAGUAUUCAAUUGUCAGAGGUGAAAUUCUUGGAUUAUUGAAGACUAACUACUGCGAAAGCAUUUGCCAAGGAUGUUUUCAUUAAUCAAGAACGAAAGUUAGGGGAUCGAAGACGAUCAGAUACCGUCGUAGUCUUAACCAUAAACUAUGCCGACUAGGGAUCGGAUGAUGUUAAUUUUUUUCAAUGACUCAUUCGGCGCCU
rnacentral:rRNA from 1 species